UUGCUCUCCUAGGUGAACUGCCUACCACGGCUGACGACCUCCACCUGGCCGGGUUUAUUGUUCGGAGUUUGCUCUCCUAGGCAGAUUGCCUACCACGGCUGACGACCUCCACCUGGCCGGGUUUAUUGUUCGGAGUUUGCUCUCCUAGGUAAAAUGCUCACGCUAACGAGCUCCACCUGCCCGGGUUUUUUGCUCGGAGUUUGCUCUCCUAGGUGAACUGCUCACGCUAACGAGCUCCACCUGCCCGGGUUUGUUGUUCGGAGUUUGCUCUCCUAGGUGAAUUGCCUACCACGGCUAACGAGCCCCACCUGCCCGGGUUUGUUUAGAGUUUCCUCUCCUAGGUGAACUGCCUACCACGGCUAACGAGCCUCACCUGCCCGGGUUUGUUUAGAGUUUGCUCUCCUAGGUGAAUUACCUCCCACGGCUAACGACCUCCACCUGCCCGGGUUUGUUUAGAGUUUGCUCUCCUAGGUGAAUUGCCUCCCACGGCUAACGACCUCCACCUGCCCGGGUUUGUUUAGAGUUUGCUCUCCUAGGUGAAUUGCCUACCACGGCUAACGACCUCCACCUGCCCGGGUUUGUUUAGAGUUUGCUCUCCUAGGUGAAUUGCCUCCCACGGCUAACGACCUCCACCUGCCCGGGUUUGUUUAGAGUUUGCUCUCCUAGGUGAAUUGCCUCCCACGGCUAACGACCUCCACCUGCCCGGGUUUAUUGUUCGGGGUUUGCUCUCCUAGGUGAACUGCCUACCACGGCUAACGAGCCUCACCUGCCCGGGUUUGUUUAGAGUUUGCUCUCCUAGGUGAAUUGCCUCCCACGGCUAACGACCUCCACCUGCCCGGGUUUGUAUAGAGUUUGCUCUCCUAGGUGAAUUGCCUCCCACGGCUAACGAGCCUCACCUGCUCGGGUUUGUUUAGAGUUUGCUCUCCUAGGCAGAUUGCCUACCACGGCUAACGAGCUCCACCUACCCGGGUUUAUUGUUCGGAGUUUGCUCUCCUAGGCAGACUGCCUACCACGGCUAACGAGCUCCACCUGCCCGGGUUUGUAACCGGAAGAUCUCCGGCACCUCCGUCGGGGCCCCGAGGGACGCCGAGGAGCCCUGCCUGGAGCCCUCCAGUCCUGCCAUGCUCGCCAGGGAGACCUUGGGCUCGCUGGCGCUCCACACCCCCGCCGAGGUGAGGAUGCAAGUACUCGCUUCUUAAAACUACCAGACUGGAUUAUAAAAUUAAUGAUAAUUACUGUGAAGGCGCCGGUCACCGCGUUUAUCGGUUCAGGGAUGGAAGACCGACGGGCAUGGGAAACGCGCACAAGCAUCCAAAGGAAUCCUCGCGACGGCUUGCGACGCAGCAUCCGUUUCCCUUUUCUUUCUCAUUCCAUUUUUUCUUUUUUAUUAUAUUUUCCUUCUUUAAUUGAUUGAUUGAUUGAUUUUACUUGGUAGGAAUCUGUUCACCAAUUAACAUCAUUCAGGUAUACAUUGCACCCACACACCUGCGGAGAGAAAACACCAGUGAGAGUGCUGACGCUCACGAGGACGGCCCGCUAGAGUUUCUUAACAUUCGCAUCGGGGCCCACUUCUCUUAAGUCGUCUGUCUCUUUAUUUUUCUCUUCUCUACUUCAUUCUAUUUCUCCCUUUCUUUCAUCCUUGCUCUCCAUCUAUGAAUUUUUUUUCUCUCUCUCUCUCUCUCUCUCUCUCUCUCUCUCUCUC